AUGAAUUGAACGGAGUUCUCAUCAUGGCUGCAUCCGCCUUGGCCCGGAUGUCGGCUUCGGAGGAAUAAACCUCUCUCCUGUGUUGCUAUUCGCUGGCACCCCCUCUCUGUUUCGCUCCGCUUUCAUAUCUUGAGCCCGCCUCGUCCUUACUCCCCCAAUCGAUUUGUUUCGUCGAAAGCAUAAACACUCGGUAAGCUCUUCGCGUCUCCAGGUUCUCCUUAUAGAUUUCCUCUUGCUUGCACCCCCCGCUUUUAUUUAUUUAUUUGUUCAAGAAGAGAAAACUUUGUAUCUGUGUGUCUAUCUGUUUUAAUUGCCCAUGUUUCUUGAUUCUUGCGAUCACGUGCUCAGCUAAUUUAUUCGAUGCUGCUCUUUGCUCAGUUUUGUGAUCUCUGCCUUAGCCGUCUGUCCGGGGUAUAAGGAACGAGGGAAAUAGCGACAAGAAAAUAUUGGAAAAAUUAGGGCUCAAUCGGUUUUGGAAACGGACGAGUCCAAGAAUCGAUCUUUGGAACAUUUUUGAGUAUCACAUGGAGGCAAGGAAAUUGAGUUACAGCCAAGAUUUAAACUUGAUCAGUGAAAAACCUUAAAGCAUGCCCUAGGUACUACGUGACAUUUUUUGGAUUUGCAAAAGUUAUUGUUGGAUUGAAGUAUUGAAACGAAAUUGAGUUACAGCCAAGAUUUAAUCCUGAUCAGUGAAAAAACCUAAAGCAAGCCCUAGGUACUACGUGACAUUUUUUAAUUUUGCAAAAGUUAUUGUUGGAUUGAAGUAUUAAAAGGUAAUUCCAUAUGAAAUGUGGAAUGCUGGAACAGUUUUAGCUGAUUUGUUUUUCAUGAUGUAUUAAAAUCCACAAGAAUGUCCUAGGGUUCGAGGAAAAGAUGAUGUUACCAUGUUAGGUUUUCAUGGCAUCUGAUUUUGAAGACAUAUUUGGGAGUUACAUGACAUGAUAGUUGAACAAAGAUUAGGACAAAUUACAUUGAAAAGACCAACUGUUGAGCAAUUUUCCCAGGCAAGUGAUGGAGAAUUUAGAGCAAAAAAAUUGUCUUUCUAGAUGCUGGUGAAGAGAACUUCUUUCGCUGAGGUUCCUUUGCUUAAGAUAUAAGAUCCUAUGAAGAUUUUAACUUUUAAGAAUUUCUUGGUGGCAGUAGGUCUUCAACAAAGAUGAAUAUUAACGUUCAAGGAAUUUAUAAGUUAUGUAUAAGGCCGAAUAUAGUAUCAGGAUUAGAGUGUUAGCUGAUGAAAGGCUUAUCAUAACGACAUAACUUAAAUGAGGAUGUUGCAGAUGAAAAAAAAAUGGGUAGUUCAAAAUAUGUAUUUUUAAAAUUUUAUAGUGAAAUAAUAAAAAAUUAAAUAUUUUAAUCUUCUAAACAUGUCUUAGAUUAGAUCUAAACUAUCAUUAAGGAUCUAUGAUAUGAAAAAUUUACAUAUAAAAUCAGAUAUAAAAUAGAAAACUACAUCUAUCACAUCGAUGUCUUGAAUCUGAUCUAACUUUUAAAUUAUGUCGGUAGAGUUCAGAACGCAUCAUCUUUUCAUGGAUCGAUGAUCUCCAAUGC
rnacentral:lncRNA from 1 species